rnacentral:rRNA from 1 species
AGAGUUUGAUCCUGGCUCAGGACGAACGCUGGCGGCGUGCCUAACACAUGCAAGUCGAACGGAACUUUUUUGAAAGAUUCUUUCGGGAUGAUUUUGAUUAAGUUUAGUGGCGGACGGGUGAGUAACGCGUGAGUAACCUGCCUUUGAGAGGGGAAUAACAAUCUGAAAAGAUUGCUAAUACCGCAUAACAUAUAUGAAUCGCGUGGUUUGUAUAUCAAAGAUUUUAUCGCUCAAAGAUGGACUCGCGUCCGAUUAGUUAGUUGGUGAGGUAACGGCUCACCAAGACCACGAUCGGUAGCCGGACUGGGAGGUUGAACGGCCACAUUGGGACUGAGACACGGCCCAGACUCCUACGGGAGGCAGCAGUGGGGGAUAUUGCGCAAUGGGGGCAACCCUGACGCAGCAACGCCGCGUGAAGGAUGAAGGUUUUCGGAUUGUAAACUUCUUUUAUUAAGGACGAAAAAUGACGGUACUUAAUGAAUAAGCUCCGGCUAACUACGUGCCAGCAGCCGCGGUAAUACGUAGGGAGCAAGCGUUGUCCGGAUUUACUGGGUGUAAAGGGUGCGUAGGCGGCUUUGCAAGUCAGAUGUGAAAUCUAUGGGCUCAACCCAUAAACUGCAUUUGAAACUGUAGAGCUUGAGUGAAGUAGAGGCAGGCGGAAUUCCCCGUGUAGCGGUGAAAUGCGUAGAGAUGGGGAGGAACACCAGUGGCGAAGGCGGCCUGCUGGGCUUUAACUGACGCUGAGGCACGAAAGCGUGGGUAGCAAACAGGAUUAGAUACCCUGGUAGUCCACGCUGUAAACGAUGA